rnacentral:tRNA from 1 species
GCCGACGUAGCUCAGCGGCCUAGAGCGUCCGCCUUGUAAGCGGAGGGGCGUGAGUUCGACUCUCACCGUCGGCUCUA